UACACAGCUCUCUCUCUCCGUCGGCGCCUCUGCUUCCCUUCCCAUUCGCCUUUCUCCCGACGGCGUCUCGUUUAUCUCUUAAGCGAUGAUAAAUCUUCUCUCUCAAUUCUAGUCCAAUAGCGGACUAACAGCAUAAAGGCGCCACACGCCAAACGUCGACGUUGGGAGAGAGAGAGGGAGAGGAAGCUGUGAGAGUGAGAAAGCGAGAAGAAAGCCAUUUCUCAGUUCUCACCACCUCGCCGGAGAAAGAAUAAUUUUGCUUCUUGUUCAUGCGGUACCACAUUUUUUCACAUUUUCUUUUCUUUUUGUAUCUUUAAUCACUUAACCUGUUUUCGAGAUCAAUUUAUUCUCUUUGAUCCUGUAAUUACCAUCUUCGUUUCUGGUUAUCGUCUUCUAGUUUCUAUGCUUCUGUUGUAAAUUUAGCUAUAUUUUUAAUUUGUUUCAAGAUU